rnacentral:rRNA from 1 species
GACGAACGCUGGCGGCGUGCUUAACACAUGCAAGUCGAACGGAGAAUUUUAUUUCGGUGAAAUUCUUAGUGGCGAACGGGUGAGUAACGCGUAGACAACCUACCUCUCAGAUGGGGACAACAUCGCGAAAGCGGUGCUAAUACCGAAUGAUGUAACUUUUCUGCAUGGAAGAGUUACCAAAGGCGGCCUCUAUUUAUAAGCUGUCACUGAGAGAUGGGUCUGCGUCUGAUUAGCUAGUUGGCGGGGUAAUGGCCCACCAAGGCGACGAUCAGUAGCCGGUCAGAGAGGAGGAACGGCCACAUUGGGACUGAGAAACGGCCCAAACUCCUACGGGAGGCAGCAGUGGGGAAUCUUCCGCAAUGGACGAAAGUCUGACGGAGCAACGCCGCGUGAGUGAAGAAGGUUUUCGGAUCGUAAAGCUCUGUUGUUUGAGACGAACGUGCAAUUUUUGAAUAAGGAAUUGUAAUGACGGUAUUAAACGAGAAAGCCACGGCUAACUACGUGCCAGCAGCCGCGGUAA